ACGUCAUUUCCGCUUCCGUCAGAGUCGAUGUUCUACAUUUUCAUCCUGAAUCAUUCUCUUUUGCUGUGAACCUUCGAAGGGAUCGGUCGUGUUACUUCAGCUAUUCAAUUGAAUUUGAAUUUUACAUUUUCAAGUGUAUUUGAAGUAUUAAUAUCGUCUUAAUUGAAAUAAAUUUCGUGGUUUGUUCAAAAGAAAGUAAUUAUGUCUUACAAUCAACAAAGUGGUGGAAGUUUCCAACCUCGUUCUUCCGGUUUUUCCAAUUUUAAUUCUGGGGGCGGUUUCAGAAAUGGGGGUGGGUAUAAUAAAUCGGGAGGUAAUUUUAAUAGUAACGGUGGGGGAUAUAAAAAUGACUCGUAUUCUAAACCAUACGGGCAAAAUAAUUUCCAGAAUCGUAACGGGGGUGGAUAUCAGAAUAACUUUAGAAACGAUAGAUUCGAUAAUGAGAGGAACGGUUUGAGAAAAGUAGAAUGGGGAACUAAAAAUUUGCGCCCCGUCGAGAAACACUUUUAUGUACCUCAUCCCGUGGUAGCAGGCCGAACGCCUUUCGAAGUCGAACAGUUUCGUAAAGCAAAAGAAAUCACUGUAGAAGGUGAAUCUCCUAAUCCUAUCCAGAAUUUCGAUGAAGCCAAUUUUCCUGAUUACAUCUUAACUGAAAUCUUUAACAAAGGGUAUGAAGCACCUACCGCUAUUCAAUCUCAAGGGUGGCCGAUUGCCAUGAGCGGACAUGACAUGGUAGGUAUUGCGCAAACAGGAUCAGGAAAAACGUUAGCGUACAUAUUACCUGCUGCAAUUCAUAUCAAUAACCAACCUCCAUUGAAUAAAGGUGAAGGACCAAUCGUUUUAGUCCUUGCUCCUACACGAGAACUCGCACAACAGAUUCAAGAGGUUUCCAAUGAUUUUGGUAGGUCAACUAAUAUUCGUAAUAGUUGUAUCUUUGGCGGCGCUCCCAAGGGGCCCCAAGCUCGUGAUCUACAAAGAGGUAUUGAAAUUUGCAUUGCUACACCUGGUCGUUUGAUUGAUUUCUUGGAAAAGGGAGCCACCAAUUUAGAAAGAUGCACUUACUUAGUCUUGGACGAAGCUGAUAGAAUGUUGGAUAUGGGAUUUGAACCCCAAAUUCGUAAAAUUCUUAGUCAGGUGAGACCAGAUCGUCAAACGCUUAUGUGGUCAGCUACUUGGCCCAAAGAAGUGAAAAAGUUGGCAUCAGAUUUCAUGAAAAAUCCCAUUCAAAUUAACGUUGGAUCCAAGAAUUUAUCUGCUAAUAACAAUAUUGUUCAGAUCGUCGAUGUCUGCCAGGAACACGAAAAGGAAACAAAGUUAGGAUCUCUGCUACGAGAAAUUAACGCCAACCCGGAACCUGGUUCCAAGAUAAUAAUUUUUGUUGAAACUAAAAAGAAAGUUGAAGGAAUUACACGAUCUAUAAGAAGUGUAGGUUGGUCGGCAUUAGCAAUGCACGGAGAUAAAAGCCAACAGGAACGUGAUUACGUUUUAAAAGAAUUUAGAUCAGGAAAAUCUUCUAUAUUAGUAGCUACUGAUGUAGCAGCGCGUGGGUUAGGUAAGUUCCAAACUUGAAUGUCGGGCGGGAAAACAAUGAAAUCGGUUCAUUUGGAAUUAUACCAUGUUCAUUUGUGAUUUAUUUUAAUACCCCUUCAGUUGGGGAAGACGUAACUAAAAAUUUUGUGGCGUAGUAGCAUUUCGGAUUGGGGAUUUCAGACUGGUUACAGUUGUUUUAUUAUGGAAGUACAGAACUUCCUAUUAACACAUAAUUUAAAUAUUGAACUUUUUCAAUACAACACUAUCGUUUUCUAAAUUUAAAUCCAUACUGAAACUGUACUGUUUCUAUUGAUGGAUUGAAAGUUAAAAUAUGUGCGUGUUUAUAUUAAUUUUACUUAUCAGUCUGGGCGCCCUUUUUUUAUUUUUUCAGAGGCACAUGCACGAUGAGCGAUUUUAAGUUUUUGCCUUUUUUGUGUUCUAUGAUAGGAAUGCAAUUCUGUUUCAUGCGAGUGCCUCUAUGAAGGCUGUCUCGCCCUAUAAUCGGGACGGUUCAGCUGGAAAAAUGAAAAUUUGAAGACCUUUGUAAGAGAUUAUUUUAUAUAUAAAUGAUAUGGCACUUGUUUUAACCUUCCCAAUAGAUCACUAAAUUGUCAAUCCUUUAAUCACAUUCCAGUAUUUAUACAAUAAGAAAUCUUUUGAUAAACUUCAUAACUCUUGAAAAUCCUUUCAAUUUAUAUUUCUUGGUGAUCAUCUCUACACCCUCCUUGUUCCUAUUUCCUACCUACUGCUUAGAAAACCUGAGUUACUACGACGUGGGAUUUUUGAGCACUUGAAAACAGAUGUCAUUAAUGUCUUACCAUUGGUCAUUUUCUGCCAUGUUUGAGUAGACCAAAUAUUUUGAGUCGCCAGUUUGGUGGCGCAGAAGGUCAACUGAAGCAAGCAGGAAUUUUCUUUGCUACUAUACCUUUAUAAAUCGGGUUUUCACUGUCACAUCACAACUUCAUGGAUUUUCCUUUGAAACUGAUGUUGAAGGGAUAAAAUACGUUGUAAAUUACGAUUAUCCCCAUUCUUCUGAAGACUAUAUACAUAGAAUUGGCAGAACUGGUCGUUCCGAUUCUAUUGGUACAUCCUACGCGUUUUUCACACCUUCCAAUUUCAAACACGCUAGGGAUUUGGUGUCCGUCCUCAAUGAAACUAACCAGGUUGUAAAUCCAAAAUUGAAUGAAAUAGCCAAUAAAACGAAUAAUUUCGGUAAAGGGGGUUCCCGUUGGGGAAACGGUGGAUUUAAUAAGGGUGGUUAUAAUCAGGGUUUUAAGAAAUUCAGUGUUCCCAAUACAUACCAGAAA